AUGGCCUGGGCCACAUUCCUGCUCCCGCUCCUCAACCUCUACACAGGCUCUGUUGACUCCUAUGAGCUGACACAGCCACCCUCGGUGUCAGUGUCCCCAGGACAGACAGCCAGGAUCACCUGCUCUGGAGAUGUACUGGGGGAAAAUUAUGCUGACUGGUACCAGCAGAAGCCAGGCCAGGCCCCUGUGUUGGUUAUAUACAAAGAUAGUGAGCGGCCCCCUGGAAUCCCUGAGCGAUUCUCUGGGUCUACCUCAGGGAACACGACCACCCUGACCAUCAGCAGCGUCCUGACCGAAGACAAGGCUGACUAUUACUGUUUGUCUGGGGAUGAGGACAAUCCCACAGUGACACAGGCAGAUGAGGAAGACACUGGCAUAAGGAGUCACUACCAAGCUACGCUGGCCCUGUAUUUCUAUCCAGAACCAGUCAAAGCCACCCCUGAGUCCUGCAGUUCUCCGUACCAAGCCCCAGUCCCCCUUCAGGACCACCCAUCACCCAGAGAGACAGACGUGCAGGGAGCCCGAGGAAGAACCUGA